rnacentral:rRNA from 1 species
GAUGAACGCUGGCGGCGUGCCUAAUACAUGCAAGUCGAGCGAAUGAUGAGGAGCUUGAUCCUCCGAUUUAGCGGCGGACGGGUGAGUAACACGUGGGUAACCUGCCUCUAAGAUGGGGAUAAUUCCGGGCAACCGGGGCUAAUACCGGAUACUAAAAGCCGAAGCAGUUCUUCUUUUUGAAUGCUGGUUUCGCCUAACACUAACAGAUGCGCCCGCGGCGCAUUAGCUAGUUGGGGAGGUAACGGCUCACCAAGGCGACGCUGCGGAGCCGACCUAAGAGGGUGAUCGGCCACACUGGGACUGAGACACGGCCCAGACUCCUACAGGAGGCAGCAGUAGGGAAUCUUCGGCAAUGGGCGAAAGCCUGACCGAGCAACGCCGCGUGAGCGAGGAAGGCCUUCGGGUCGUAAAGCUCUGUUGUCAGGGAAGAACAAGUACGAGAGUAACUGCUCGUACCUUGACGGUACCUGACCAGAAAGCCACGGCUAACUACGUGCCAGCCGCCGCGGUAACAC